UACGUAGGGUGCAAGCGUUGUCCGGAAUUAUUGGGCGUAAAGAGCUCGUAGGCGGUUUGUCGCGUCUGCUGUGAAAACUCGGGGCUUAACUCCGGGCCUGCAGUGGGUACGGGCAGACUAGAGUGCGGUAGGGGAGACUGGAAUUCCUGGUGUAGCGGUGAAAUGCGCAGAUAUCAGGAGGAACACCGGUGGCGAAGGCGGGUCUCUGGGCAGUAACUGACACUGAGGAGCGAAAGCGUGGGGAGCGAACAGG
rnacentral:rRNA from 1 species